CCGAGGGCAAGAGAGACCCCCUCGAAUCCCGAGGCGGGCCGGGACCUGGGCGCGGCCGCACCCCCCACCCACCCCGGCACGGGGGCCGGGCCGCGGGAACGCCCUCCCGGAAUGAAGCGCUUCCCGGUGCCUUCAAGAGUUCUAAACCCCACCCCAUCGGAUUGGAAGAACCUAAGAUGCCUGCCCAGUGCGUUUGGAGUUACUUCUCUCGGUUUCGCGUGUGUAAAAGGGAGCCAAUGAGGAGAUAGGAGGAGGGAGCCCCAAGCGCCCAUGAGCAUUGAUUUUGGUGCUAGUGCUGUUGGGUACUGGCUGUUGGAGGUGGGUAAGGAUCAUUUGUGCAGAGCCGGCCAAGCCGGGUGAGAGAGGAUCCAUUUAUUAUCCUCCUCGUGCAGGACCUCAGAGGAGGAAGCGUCUACUUGUCACUACCUGUCACGUGUGGGGUGAGUUUACAGAAGUCCCCUCCCACUGCAGGUUCAUCUCAGUCUCAGUACUUCCUUCCACUUUGUUCACAGUAGGGGCAAGGAGUCCUUCGAGGGGUAGCCUUUACAGGACAGUGCAGCUGUAAAUGGAUGGUCCUCAUAGGAAAAUGGAGAUCUCAGCGGCAUUAAGGAAAAAAUGAUUUUUAGAGCAACUGGCCCAGACCCCAGAAUUAGGAGAUUAGAGGAUUCGGUUCCAGUUCUUUCUCUCUAGUAUGACACACCCUGAAAAAUCACUCAGAAAAUUAAAGCAUAAAUUGUUUUAUACUUUAAAAAAAUCCUCUCGAGAAAUACAGUGGGCCAAUGACAUUCCACCCAAGUACCAAGAUGCAACUUGGCACAUUCAUUCAUUCCACAAAUAUUUAUUGAACAGCUGCUACCUACCGGACACUGUCUUAGGUGCUAUAUUCCUAGCAGCUACCUUGGCGAAACUUGCUUACUAGAGACAGGAAUCAGACAAUAAAUAAAUAGAUAAAUAAAUUGGUGAUUUGUCAGUUACUUAAUGGUAAG